GACGAACGCUGGCGGCGUGCUUAACACAUGCAAGUCGAACGGAAAGGCCCUUCUCUUGUGGUGCGCUCGAGUGGCGAACGGGUGUGAAACACGUGUAUAAUCUGCUCUUGACUUUGGUAUAACUUCAGGAAACUGGGGCUAAUACCGUAUAGGAGCCCCUGGUGCAUGGGGGGGGUUGGAAAUUUUCGGCGGUUGGGGAUGGACUCGCGGCUUAUCAGCUUGUUGGUGGGGUAGUGGCUUACCAAGGCUUGGACGGGUAGCCGGCCUGAGAGGGUGACCGGCCACAUUGGGACUGAGAUACGGCCCAGACUCCUACGGGAGGCAGAAGUGGGGAAUAUUGCAAAAUGGGCGGAAGCCUGAUGCAGCAACGCCGCGUGCGGGAUGACGGCCUUCGGGUGGUAAACCGCUUUCGCCUGUGACGAAGCGUGAGUGACGGUAAUGGGUAAAGAAGCACCGGCUAACUACGUG
rnacentral:rRNA from 1 species